rnacentral:rRNA from 1 species
AGGACGAACGCUGGCGGCGUGCUUAACACAUGCAAGUCACGGGGGCUCGCAAGAGCAACCGGCGAACGGGUGCGUAACACGUGAGCAACCUGCCUUUGUGUGGGGGAUAGCCGGGCUAACGCCCGGGUAAUACCGCAUACGGUCACCGGGAGGAGUCUCCUGGUGAAGAAACCUCCGGGGCACAGAGAGGGGCUCGCGGCCUAUCAGCUAGUUGGCGGGGUAAUGGCCCACCAAGGCGACGACGGGUAGCUGGUCUGAGAGGAUGGCCAGCCACAUUGGGACUGAGAGACGGCCCAGACUCCUACGGGAGGCAGCAGUGGGGAAUCUUGCGCAAUGGCGAAAGGCUGACGCAGCGACGCCGCGUGUGGGAGGCGCCGUUCGGGGUGUAAACCGA